rnacentral:rRNA from 1 species
UUUGGUCAUUAGAGGAAGUAAAGUCGUAACAAGGUUUCCGUAGGUGAACCUGCGAAGGAUCAUUA